rnacentral:tRNA from 1 species
AGGCUCGUAGCUCAACUGGUAGAGCAGCGGCCUCUUAAGCCGCGAGUUGAGGGUUCGAGUCCCUCCGGGCCUA